UGGGAAGUAUUGCACAAUGGGCGCAAGCCUGAUGCAGCCAUGCCGCGUGUGUGAAGAAGGCCUUCGGGUUGUAAAGCACUUUCAGCGAGGAGGAAGGGUAGUGUGUUAAUAGCACAUUGCAUUGACGUUACUCGCAGAAGAAGCACCGGCUAACUCCGUGCCAGCAGCCGCGGUAAUACGGAGGGUGCAAGCGUUAAUCGGAAUUACUGGGCGUAAAGCGCACGCAGGCGGUUUGUUAAGUCAGAUGUGAAAUCCCGCGCUUAACGUGGGAACUGCAUUUGAAACUGGCAAGCUAGAGUCUUGUAGAGGGGU
rnacentral:rRNA from 1 species